CUAACAGGAUUUUGACCCGAGUUCCCGAGAUGACGAAGCCCUAGCCUUGUCCGUCCGCUUCCGCUCGGGAAGGUGUGGCUGCACCUGUGCCGGGUACAGGUGUAGCCGGUUCUUCUUCUCCGUUUCCGCUUCUGCAGCAUCUCCUCCCAUCUCCCCCUUGGGGGUCUGGAUAAUGAGCCAAGGCUCCAGACGCCAGAAAGGCCUGAGAGAUUCAGCCCAGGAAGCCGUUGAAAGGUUCUGUCUUAAACGAACAACCAAGGGGCAAUCCUUUGGCACCUGAACGACCUAAAGGAUGAGUGUUUGAAAAGUUAAAAACGACUCCGGCACGCCCUGCACCGUCGGGUUUUCAACGUCCAGCUGCGGCAGGGACUCGGGUCCUGGGGAAACGGGACCCGGUCCGUGCUCUUUGGGGAAACGGCCCAUCAGGUCAGCCUGGCGCCUGUGCUCACGGACGCUUGUCCUCCUUGCAGGAGCUGAGGGGCAACAUCCGCGUUCACUGUCGGAUCCGUCCUUUGCUGCCUUCGGAUAAUGAGUGUGAUGAUCCAGCUGCAGAGAAGAGGAGACCGUCCUGGUGGACUGCAGCCGGUCUGGUCACCCUCGGAUUAAUAAGACGUACACCUUUGAAAGGUAAGCUUCUUCGGGAUGACGGGGCAGCCACGUCACGCAGAGGUCAGCUCUGCCUCGCGGUUCGAUGGCGAAAAGGUACAGCUUGCCCCGUUGGUCUAAGUGCGAAGGAAAGGCCCUUAGUUCCGUGGAUGGAGCACUGUCUUUCCGCAAGUGUUGCUGGACGGCUGGCCGUCCACAGGCCACAGAGAAACGCGUCUUCACCCACGCAGCACACGCCUGUGGAAAGGUUGCCUGAGAUGGAAACUAGGCCCAGGUAGGACGCCUAAAACUGAAGCCUUUGGAAGACAACGUAGGAGGGAGGCUUUGUGGCCUUGGGUUAAGGGAGGAAUUCUUAGAAACGCCACCUAAAGCACGAUCCUUCAAAGAACUGAAAUUCAAACCUUCUGUCUGUGACGCUGUUGGAAGGAUGAGAGACAAGCCGAGCACGGGAGACAGUAUCCGGAAAUCGCUGCGUCCGUGAGGCCCACCUCCAGGAUGUACGGAGGAGCCUCGAAAACAAGGAACAGACAACCGGGAGCGAGCGGAAAGACGUCGGAGGACGUGACCUCAAGGAACGAGCCCGGCCGUGGUCGCUGGGGAAAUGCCGCCGGAGCGGCCCCCGCGGCCCGUGCACCAUGCUGACCUGUGACCCGGGGCCCCCAGGCCUUUCCCCAAGACGGUUCCCCAGAGGACUGCAGGAGGUGUU
rnacentral:lncRNA from 1 species